rnacentral:tRNA from 1 species
GCGUUGUUAGGCUAGCGGUAAACUGGGCCCUUGCCAUUGGGCAACAGAGUGGGCUCGUCAGGGGUUCGACUCCCCUACAACGCA